rnacentral:tRNA from 1 species
AGGUAAGGUGGCUGAGUAAGCGGCGGGUUGUAGCCCCGAAGACAGAGGUUUGAGCCCUCUCCCUAC